CCGAGAACUGAAGCUGGUGGCUCCCAGUGAGUUGCUCAAUAGACAGGAUAACUCCAGGUCACCAGCAAAG
ensembl:miRNA